GUGGCGGAGAGGAGAAGGGCUCCGAGGAGGCGCGAAGUCCCGGCCGGUGGCGGGAGGAAGCGGGGCUAGGCUCCCCAGGCAAGCCAGAUCGCGCUCCUGCCUCAGAUGUCCGUAGACCUGAGAGAUUUGGAGAUCUAAGAAAGCUGGAAGAUGAAAGGAUCUUUCCUAGGCAAUUGGCUACAGAAAUAAAGGGGACAAAGAUAAAACUAAUCUGAUGAAAACAGUCUGGACCAGAGGAAGGAUCUCAAUAAAUAACUUAUU
rnacentral:lncRNA from 1 species